GAGAGUUUGAUCCUGGCUCAGGAUGAACGCUAGCUACAGGCUUAACACAUGCAAGUCGAGGGGCAGCAUGGUCUUAGCUUGCUAAGGCCGAUGGCGACCGGCGCACGGGUGAGUAACGCGUAUCCAACCUGCCUUACACUCUUGGACAGCCUUCUGAAAGGGAGAUUAAUACAAGAUGUUAUCAUGAGUAAGCAUUUUCGCAUGAUUAAAGGUUUACCGGUGUAAGAUGGGGAUGCGUUCCAUUAGAUAGUAGGCGGGGUAACGGCCCACCUAGUCUUCGAUGGAUAGGGGUUCUGAGAGGAAGGUCCCCCACAUUGGAACUGAGACACGGUCCAAACUCCUACGGGAGGCAGCAGUGAGGAAUAUUGGUCAAUGGACGAGAGUCUGAACCAGCCAAGUAGCGUGAAGGAUGAAGGUUCUAUGGAUUGUAAACUUCUUUUAUACGGGAAUAAACGAAUCCACGCGUGGAUUUUUGCAUGUACCGUAUGAAUAAGGAUCGGCUAACUCCGUGCCAGCAGCCGCGGUAAUACGGAGGAUCCGAGCGUUAUCCGGAUUUAUUGGGUUUAAAGGGAGCGUAGAUGGGUUGUUAAGUCAGUUGUGAAAGUUUGCGGCUCAACCGUAAAAUUGCAAUUGAUACUGGCAGUCUUGAGUACAGUUGAGGUAGGCGGAAUUCGUGGUGUAGCGGUGAAAUGCUUAGAUAUCACGAAGAACUCCGAUUGCGAAGGCAGCUUACUAACCUGUAACUGACAUUGAUGCUCGAAAGUGUGGGUAUCAAACAGGAUUAGAUACCCUGGUAGUCCACACGGUAAACGAUGAAUACUCGCUGUAGGCGAUAUACAGUCUGCGGCCAAGCGAAAGCAUUAAGUAUUCCACCUGGGGAGUACGCCGGCAACGGUGAAACUCAAAGGAAUUGACGGGGGCCCGCACAAGCGGAGGAACAUGUGGUUUAAUUCGAUGAUACGCGAGGAACCUUACCCGGGCUUAAAUUGCAACCGAAUAUGGCGGAAACGCUAUAGCUAGCAAUAGCGGUUGUGAAGGUGCUGCAUGGUUGUCGUCAGCUCGUGCCGUGAGGUGUCGGCUUAAGUGCCAUAACGAGCGCAACCCUUGCCGAUAGUUACUAACAGGUCAUGCUGAGGACUCUGUCGGGACUGCCAUCGUAAGAUGUGAGGAAGGUGGGGAUGACGUCAAAUCAGCACGGCCCUUACGUCCGGGGCUACACACGUGUUACAAUGGGGGGUACAGAGGGCUGCUACCACGCAAGUGGAUGCCAAUCCCAAAAACCUCUCUCAGUUCGGAUUGAAGUCUGCAACCCGACUUCAUGAAGCUGGAUUCGCUAGUAAUCGCGCAUCAGCCACGGCGCGGUGAAUACGUUCCCGGGCCUUGUAUACACCGCCCGUCAAGCCAUGGGAGCCGGGGGUACCUGAAGUGCGUAACCGCAAGGAGCGCCCUAGGGUAAAACUGGUGACUGGGGCUAAGUCGUAACAAGGUAGCCG
rnacentral:rRNA from 1 species